UUUCGCUUUCCGGAACGUGUCCGGUGGGUUGGUUUAUACCACUAACAGGUCGCAGUCUUCGAGAAUAUCGGUUGUUUUAAUGCAGACCACGUGUACUUGCUUCGUUCAGUGUUCCUCAACCAUAUGGGUAUUGUGGUAUCACUGAUCCGAUGGAGAAAUGAAACCCUCCGUGCACUGUUCAGCAAACAACAUAUUCUAUUGGCGAUUCGUCUACGAUCGGUACAGUACAUUCCAUGGAGAUUUCAACCGCCUACUGCACACCGCAGCAGACUUGCCACGAAACUGAGUUGAAAGACAAAAACUUCUGAGGCCGAUCUCAUAGCGCCCGUAGUGAUCCGUUUCCCUGAUGAGAAUCGACGUUCGAGCGGGCGCCAGACGGGGACUCGUGAAACCGAUCUGUCUGCAUUCAGCGGCCCGCAGUGCUGCUGCUACGACUAGCGCCAUUCUAGACACUCACAGUAGGACCUAUACUUGGGAAGGUCGUGCGAACAAACCAUUAUUCACAAAGUGAAGUCUGGUCUAUGGUUCGUAGAGCACUGGGGGCACUGGGCCCGCGCACUGUUUGCAUCGAUCGAUACGCAGGAGCAUCGCACUCGCUACAGAUCCCUGGAUCGAUGCGUCGACCUCUCACCGCAGAAAAAAACAUUCCGGUAUCGUCCUGCAUGCCGUACACUCAUGUCGGAAUACCGUGGGACGGGCGCUCUCACAUAGCACGAGCGCACACACACACACACUGACGUAUGGCUCGCUCAGCAUUGUCAUCAACACCAGCCAUGGCAAGCUUUUUCUGCGACCGGUUCAUUUUCCUCUCCCUUGUCUCGCGCUUCGAAUACGCCGGUCCUACCUAUCCCGCAAAUUCUGUUGGAAUCAGUCGUGGAUACUGAUCGCAGCAUGAAAGCCCGUUUCCGCCGCUUCCGGUUGUUCUCUGGGGGUUCCUCGCACAGGCAAAAGUUCUGAUCCAGGUUUCGUUCACCUGUUUCGCCUACUAUGCAGACGGUCUCCAUGCGCGCUUUCCAGCGGUGACAAGUGACUGCGAUCAAGUGCUCCCAGGGAUGCACUAGACCUUCUGCGGCUCCGAGCGCCGCCCAGAGUCGCACGACAGCGCGCUUCAUCGCUCGGUACAUGCGGUUGACGUGAACGCAAGGCUCCCAGCGCUGUUUUCCUCUGUAUCCGCACAGAGUGCCGCGUCCUACGAUCAAGGACUUCUUCGAGGCGAUCCCCAAGGCAGGUGCCCGGUCCGCUGCAUAUGCGAAAGUGUGCGCAUUUCCGUUCGAUAGAGGAUUUAUGGAACACGAUGUUAUCCAUGAUUAAACACAUAUCGUAAGGAAAAUUCAGGUUAGACAUCAAGUCGAGGAGUUCCGAUUCGUUUAGGCUCGUUUCAGGCGAAGCGACAUGCACGCUCUACAGCCACUGACCGCUAGGCUCACUGAACUGCAAUUCGAAGACCAUUUUCCGUGCAAACCGAAGACAGACGAUCCCAACCGACAUACCCUGUGAGAGGCAUGGUUAUACUGCGCUCAUUUCCGAUUUCAUCAAUAACCAGACAGUG
rnacentral:misc_RNA from 1 species